rnacentral:rRNA from 1 species
UUGUAGUCAUAUGCUUGUCUCAAAGAUUAAGCCAUGCAUGUCUAAGUAUAAGCAACUAUACGGUGAAACUGCGAAUGGCUCAUUAAAUCAGUUAUCGUUUAUUUGAUAGUACCUUACUACUUGGAUAACCGUGGUAAUUCUAGAGCUAAUACAUGCUAAAAACCCCAACUUCGGAAGGGGUGUAUUUAUUAGAUAAAAAACCAACGCCCUUCGGGGCUCCUUGGUGAUUCAUAAUAACUAAACGAAUCGCAUGCCUUGCGCCGGCGAUGGUUCAUUCAAAUCUCUGCCCUAUCAACUUUCGAUGGUAGGAUAGUGGCCUACCAAGGUAUCAACGGGUAACGGGGAAUGGGGCGG